GCCAGACUCCUACGGGAGGCAGCAGUGGGGGAUAUUGCACAAUGGGGGAAACCCUGAUGCAGCGACGCCGCGUGGGCGAAGAAGUAUUUCGGUAUGUAAAGCCCUAUCAGCAGGGAAGAAGAAAUGACGGUACCUGAGUAAGAAGCCCCGGCUAACUACGUGCCAGCAGCCGCGGUAAUACGUAGGGGGCAAGCGUUAUCCGGAUUUACUGGGUGUAAAGGGGGCGCAGACGGCGAUGCAAGCCAGGAGUGAAAGCCCGGGGCCCAACCCCGGGACUGCUCUUGGAACUGCGUGGCUGGAGUGCAGGAGGGGCAGGCGGAAUUCCUGGUGUAGCGGUGAAAUGCGUAGAUAUCAGGAGGAACACCGGUGGCGAAGGCGGCCUGCUGGACUGCAACUGACGUUGAGGCCCGAAAGCGUGGGGAGCAAACAGGAUUAGAUACCCGGGUAC
rnacentral:rRNA from 1 species